rnacentral:lncRNA from 1 species
ACAAGCCUCUUAAGUAGGAAGUGGGAUGUGCUGCAUUAAUCAAGGCUUGAUUGGAAGUCUCGUGUAGGUUGCAUGUACUGAAAAGGAAGACCUGCUGUUAGAGUUGAUAGGAACUGCAAGGGAGCAGAAGAGUUGCCAGACCAGGUCAUCUGCCUCCCAGCCUGCAAAGCCCGACACUUGUGUCUUGUCUGCCAAGUCAGCUCAGGGGUCCUGCUGCCUGGAUGUGUCUAUGCCAUGUUGGAGCAAUUGCAUUUACCACAAAUUAAUUUUACUGCCUGAAACAGAGUGUCAGUGCAAUUUAGGACGUUACAGACAAAAAGGGCCGUCUGGCUGACAUGUAUGACCAAGACCUUAACAUAGUAGACAAGACAAGGUAUAACAUCCUUUUUUUUUUUCUUUUUUUUUUUUUUUUUUCUGCCAUAAUCAAAAAAUGUGCUAGAUAUGUUAGUUUGUGUUUUUAAAACAACAUCAAUUAAAUCAGAAUUUGCUGCAAUUUUCUGUGCCUAGUUGAAAAUUUAGAAUUU